rnacentral:rRNA from 1 species
CGGCGGACGGGUGAGUAACACGUGGAUAACCUACCUAUAAGACUGGGAUAACUUCGGGAAACCGGAGCUAAUACCGGAUAAUAUAUUGAACCGCAUGGUUCAAUAGUGAAAGACGGUUUUGCUGUCACUUAUAGAUGGAUCCGUGCCGCAUUAGCUAGUUGGUAAGGUAACGGCUUACCAAGGCAACGAUGCGUAGCCGACCUGAGAGGGUGAUUGGCCACACUGGAACUGAGACACGGUCCAG